AGUCUGUCAAUUUACUUGUUGAUUAUAUAAUACAAAGUUCAAUGGCCUGACAUUUUGCAGUGAAACGUACCUGCUGAGGGGCUGCAAGAUCUGGGGAGUGUGGGGAAACUAUAAUAGCCUUUAUGGGUUUAAUGGAGCCUGAGCAACAUGCUCUUUCCUUCCUAGAUCCUUCUAGAAACAACCACUAGUUGCAAGUAACCUCUGCUUUAGUGAAUGUUUAGAGACUGUUAGCAUUGUUUCCCCAGCAUCAGGGCUCAGACACUCUCAGGUUUCUCUUAUUUUGCUGGAAGGCCUGUAAUGGCACCUGUGAAUUAGGAACCCUUCCCCCCUCUCAGCUUAGUGCAGAUAAAUAUCAGAAUCAAGAUAGUAACACUCAUGGCAAGUCAAGUAUACACAAAAAUUAUACCAUCUGGCACAAUUAGUCAGCCCGAGGGCUGGUUAAUGAACUGUAAUAUACACAAUCUAGUAUGCAUGCUGCAGUUGUAAUUGUUUAUGAUACCAGUAAUGUGUAGAUUUAGCAGAGGACAUAAGUAGUCUCUUUAGCAUACGCAAGGUUUUUCAAGUAUUCGCAAACAUUAGGACUGUUCUCCAGGACAUUUCUGUGUGACUUGCUAUUUCUGUAACAGCAAACUAACUGAGAUUCUUGUUUUUAAGACUGUAGAAGCUGUGAUAAACAUCUAGUUCAGACUGUGGUUUUGAUAGCUUACAACAUAACACAAGCAGACACACAGAAAAUCAUUCUGGGGAUUCCACCACUGAAAUGUGGUUUAAAUGCCUACUGUAGAUCAAGAAUGACAAAUGCCACCAUCCUCUACACCUCAUUCUUCUAUGUAAACUAAUUAACUGAGCCUGAGGAAUCAGCUCUAAUACAGUCGUCCACCAAGAGCAGACAGCAGCUGUUAACUCCCCUUCACAGAUACCAUUACAGGCCUCCUAUCAUCUGACUACUGCUGAGAAAAUUAACAUCUUAAAUGUGCUAUUUCUUAGCUGCUCCUGCUAGCUCUGCUUUGGCAACAUUUCUGUUAAAAUCCUUUUCUUUUUUAGGACCUCAACACUCCUCUCCACAGAAAUGAGUACUGUAUGUGCCAUUGAGAGAUCCUGAGUCUACACUAAAAAAAGGAAUACACGUAAUCAAAUUAACCACUAGCACAACUGUCUUACAUGACUGCAGUGGAUUAACCUUAUUCUUUUCCAUUUCCUCUGAGACAGCAUGUCCAUCUACAGGCAAAAAUACAUGUGUGUUAGCAAAUCAAAUUCAUUAAGCUUAAUUAGUUGUACAUGCCUCGUCCUCACACAAGAUUUAAUAAUACAGUUUGCUUGUUUGAGGCCAAACACUUCCUCAAAAACUAUGCAAGCAUUUCUACCCAUAUCAAACACCUGCACUUCUGCCAUUAAAGAUUAGAUAUCUGAAUGUAUUUGAUAGCCAAAAAAGACUAUCAGUGUGUCAUUUCCUAUUUCAAUACUCUUUCCAACAAGCUGACCACCUUUUCGUUAUCACAUUGCUGAUAAAAGACAAGGCGAAACAGAACAAUAUGGUUUCACCAUUAAAGUUUAACUUGACUGCCUGCUCCCCUGUGAAGUGCCAUGUAUUCAACAACUUAACAGCUGAUAUUAAAAAGAUCAGAAUUUUCCUCAUGCCUCGUCUAACACCUUGUCCACUAUGCUCUAUUAUUUAAGCCAACCAAACACAAAAAAUCCCUCAGAGCAAUAAAUAAAUAAAUAAUAAUAACAAUAAAAAAACGACAACAUUUUUAUCUCAGCAUUAUGUAGCUAAAGGAAGAGCUGUGGGGAAAAAAAAAGUGAAAAACAAAGCAAAACAGACGGUCUGAAAAUUUAGACUGGCAGGUCUAGGCUGUCUGUCUGUGUAGCAUGACAUCUCACCUACUGAUACAGUCAACACUUGUGCAAACAUUUGAUUUAAUAUACACAAACUCUGUAGAGUAGCUGUAGAUUUACAUCUACACCACUUCUACACUCCCUCCCCCAUGUCAAAGAACCUUUAAGUGUUGAGAAAUCUAUGUUAAGUGAAACUUGCUUGCUUGGGAGAGGCUCUUUAAUUCACUUUUUAUACAUCAUUUAACCCAAAGCCUGUCUUAAACAGAAGGCUUGUUUUUAACCUCCCUUCAGUAAGUAAUGAACUCCCCCACUUGGUAGCCUCACAGAGCAUCAACAC
rnacentral:lncRNA from 1 species